rnacentral:rRNA from 1 species
UGGGGAAUUUUGGACAAUGGGGGAAACCCUGAUCCAGCCAUCCCGCGUGUGCGAUGAAGGCCUUCGGGUUGUAAAGCACUUUUGGCAGGAAAGAAACGUCGCGGGUUAAUACCCCGCGAAACUGACGGUACCUGCAGAAUAAGCACCGGCUAACUACGUGCCAGCAGCCGCGGUAAUACGUAGGGUGCAAGCGUUAAUCGGAGUUACUGGGCGUAAAGCGUGCGCAGGCGGUUCGGAAAGAAAGAUGUGAAAUCCCAGAGCUUAACUUUGGAACUGCAUUUUUAACUACCGGGCUAGAGUGUGUCAGAGGGAGGUGGAAUUCCGCGUGUAGCAGUGAAAUGCGUAGAUAUGCGGAGGAACACCGAUGGCGAAGGCAGCCUCCUGGGAUAACACUGACGCUCAUGCACGAAAGCGUGGGGAGCAAACAGGAUUAGAUACCCUGGUAGUCCACGCCCUAAACGAUGUCAACUAGCUGUUGGGGCCUUCGGGCCUUGGUAGCGCAGCUAACGCGUGAAGUUGACCGCCUGGGGAGUACGGUCGCAAGAUUAAAACUCAAAUGAA